UCUAGUUUAGAUUGGUGUUCUUUCCACAGGAAAUAAAUUAGAUAUGUUUUACUCUUUCUUCCAUCAACUUCUAACUGUAUAAGCGGUUUCCUUCUGCUGGAUUCAGGUUAAUUUGUUCUUUUUCUAGUUUCUUAGGUUUGGAUUGCUUCAACAGUUUUAUCAACUCUCCACUAUGUGACAGACACUGUACUAGAACUAGGAUUAUAGGAGCGCCUGGGUGGCUCAGUCGGUUAAGCGUCCAACUUCAGCUCAGGUCAUGAUCUCUGUUUGUGAGUUCGAGCCUGCUUUGGAUUCUGUCUCCUACUCUCUCUGCCCCUCCCCACUUGUGCUCUCUGUCUCUCAAAAAUAAAUAAAUGAAAAAAUUAAAAAAAAAAAAAGAACUAGGAUUAUAAGUGUAAUCUUGUGAGACAAUUAUCAAUUGUUAGAUAGUGACUAUUAAGCAAAACAAAGUUCUGGCCCUAAUUCUUCAUUUCCUGCAUUUAUUAAAGAGUACUAAUUUCCCACAAGAUGACCUUCCAAAGAUGACUUUGAUCACCUCCUACAGGUUUUAAUAUAUAGCAACUCAUUAUCGCUCAUAUCUGAAUGAACUAUUUCAACUCUGGUCUUCACUUUGAAUCAAACAAAUAAAAUAUAAAUUUCCAAGGUGGGGUUUAGAAUCACUUCACAGAUUACUUCCUAAUUGUAAGGAUACAAAACAACCUUUAAAAUGGAGAGAUUUGACCGUCAUCACCUUAACCAUUUGACCAAAUUUGGCCUCAUGAUAUCAAUAUGUGCCUCUUGAUGUAUGACAAUGCAAAAUACAUAAUUUAUUAAAUAUUCUUACAAAAUUGUUUAACACAAAUUCAAUCUUCUCUCUACACUUAAUUUCCAGUAUAGAUGGCAGAAUAAGUUAAAUGACAACAUUAGGAAACAAGCACAACAAUCCAAAAUAUGGAACACCCUACAAGAUAACUACAUGGACUCUAAGAAGAAAAAGCCAACAUCGUGGAAAAAAAGGAGUAAAGAUGGAAAUGAAGUUGAUCCAAACAAGCUCGGUUAAAUGUACAAAUAGAAAAGCUUCUUGUGGUUGCCUUCAUUCCCUGACUCAUGGGACAUCUUGUGCUAGACUCAUAUGGAAGUAGAUUGCCUAUCCUUACAUAGGUGAGUGAUCUUUAUUAUAAAAUUAAUGCAUUAAUUUUCUUACUAUUUUAUAACACUGCUUUUAAAUAAUUAAGUCACUGCAAGUAUGCCUCUCUCUCAUAAUUGGAGAAACUGCUUAUCAGCCCAUGAUCACAGGUAAGUGGCUUUUUUAAUGUAACAAUGUUUCUAAUGCUGUAUUAUGAAUAUGACUGUAAUAAUAUAUGCCAUAAAAAUUCUGUAAUGAUUCAUUCAUUAAAGUAUAGGUUAGGUUACCAUGAAGCAAUCACAUCUUUACACUAGGCUAACAUGAGGCAGUCAUAUUGCUGCUUUUUCAGUAUCAAUGCAUGAAUUGUUACACUUGUAAAUAUAUAUGAAUUUCUUUUUCAAAUUACCUUUUCAUUUUUGAUGUCCAGUGUUGGUAAUAUGUAUAAUAUCUACAGUGUUUUGUAUCAUAGAAGACAAUUUUGAUAUAGGUGCUGACAGACAAUUCAUCUUGUAAACAGACAACAUAAACUCAGGAUAUCAAUAAAUACAGUACAGUUCUAUAAAUGCAUUUUCUCUUCUUUAUGACUUUUUUAACAACGUAUUCCUUUCUCUAGCUUACUUCAUUGAGAGAAUAUAGUAUGUGGAUACAUAUAACAUACAAAAUAUAUCAAUUGACUCUUCAUGUUAUUGGUAAGGCUUCUAGUCAACAGUAGGCUACUAGCAGGUAAGUUUUGGGGGGAGUCAUAGGUUAUACACAGAUUUCAACUAUGUGGGGUGGGGGAUUGGCGCCCCUAACCUCCUUCAUGAUCAAGGUUCAACUGUAUACUAUGAGUCUGGAGCAAAGAAGCCAUCAAAGACUCCUAGUCACAUCAAAAAGGAAACAAUCUGAAGAGGCUCCCACUGAUCACACACGGGGCAAUUUGAAUAUAAAUUUAAGACUAGUAACCAUAAUAAUAAUUGUAAUAACUGCUGAAACAUCAAAGUUUUUAAACCUAUGAAUUCAUAAUGAUAAUUUUUAAAUUAUUUGGUAAUUUUUAGAGGAUGAAAUCAAGAAUGGCUGCUAACAUCACAAAAAGAGAAACAACGAGACAGUAUAUGCUUUCUGAUGAAACACACAAUAUUAAUUUAGCUUGCUUAUAGAAAAUA